rnacentral:rRNA from 1 species
AUGGCCGUGGACAGCGGGGACGCCGCCGCCAUGGCCGUCGCGGUCACCGGCACCCGCACGGUGGCGCCGGCCAAGACCAAGGUCACCCUCGCCACCUUCGACCUGCCCUACAUCACCUUCUACUACAACCAGAAGCUGCUCCUCUACCGCCUCCCGCAGGGCGCCGCCGACUUCCAGGACGUCACCGCGCGCAUGGCCGACGCGCUCGGGGACGCGCUCGCCUACUUCUACCCGCUCGCCGGCCGGAUCCGCCAGGAGAAGGGCGACGGCGGUGCGCUGUACGUCGACGGGGAGGAGGGCGCGGAGGUCGUCGAGGCCGCCGCCGAGGGCGUCUCCGUGGACCAGCUCGCCGGCGAGGACUGCGGCGAGGAGGCGGAGAAGCUCAUGCAGCAGCUCAUACCCUACACCGGCGUCAUGAACCUCGAGGGGCUCCACCGCCCGCUGCUCGCGGUCCAGUUCACUAAGCUCAAGGACGGCCUCGCCGUGGGCUGCGCCUUCAACCACGCCGUGCUGGACGGCACCGCCACGUGGCACUUCAUGAGCUCCUGGGCGGAGCUCUGCCGCGGCGCCGCCGCCCCGUCGGCGCUCCCGAUCCACAACCGCGCCAUGGCGCGCUCCGUGCGCGUCGGCCUCACCCUGCCGGCCUCCGCGGAGGCGCACGAGAAGACGGACCCCAACGGGCCCAAGAAGCCGCUCGUGGCCCGCGUCUUCUCCUUCUCGGAGCCCGUCGUGGCCCGCAUCAAGGCCAACGCCAACGCGGCGCUGCCCCCCGGCGCGAAGCCCUUCUCCGCCUUCCAGUCCCUGGGCGCCCACAUCUGGCGGUCCGUCUCGCGCGCGCGCGAGCUGGGCCCCGCGGACAUCACCGUCUUCGCCGUGUUCGCCGACUGCCGGGCCCGCCUCGACCCGCCCGUGCCGGCGACGUACUUCGGCAACCUCAUCCAGGCGGUGUUCACGGGCGUGCCCGCGGGGAUGCUCCUGGGCGGGCCGCCGGAGCUGGCGGCCGGGAUGCUGCAGAAGGCCAUCGGCGAGCACGACGCGGCCGCCGUGACGCGGAGGCUGGACGAGUACGAGGCGGCGCCCAAGCUGUUCCACUACAGCGACGCCGGGCCCAACUGCGUGGCCGUGGGCAGCUCGCCGCGCUUCCGCGUGUACGACGUGGACUUCGGGUUCGGCAGGCCGGAGCGCGUCCGCAGCGGCGGCAACAACAAGUUCGACGGGAUGGUGUACCUGUACCCGGGCCGCGGCGGCGACAGCGGCGGCAUCGACGUGGAGCUGGCGCUGCAGCCGGAGCCCAUGCAGAGGCUCGAGAAGGACGAGGAGUUCCUGCAGAUCGCGGCUGCAUGA